GACGAACGCUGGCGGCGUGCUUAACACAUGCAAGUCGAACGGUGACAGUGGAGCUUGCUCCGCUGGACCAGUGGCGAACGGGUGAGUAACACGUGUGCAACCUGCCCCAGACUUCGGGAUAACUCCUCGAAAGAGGUGCUACUACCGGCUACGAAGCCCCCAGGCAUCUGGGGGCUUGGACAGUUUUUCGGUCUGGGAUGGGCCCUCGGACUAUCAGCUUGUUGGUGAGGUAACGGCUCACGAAGGCGACGACGGGUCGCCGGCCUGGGAGGGCGACCGGCCACACUGGGACUGAGACACGGCCCAGACUCCUACGGGAGGCAGCAGUGGGGAAUAUUGCGCAAUGGGCGAAAGCCUGACGCAGCAACGCCGCGUGAGGGAUGACGGCCUUCGGGUUGUAAACCUCUUUCAGCAGGGAAGAAGCGAAAGUGACGGUACCUGCAGAAGAAGCACCGGCUAACUACGUGCCAGCAGCCGCGGUAA
rnacentral:rRNA from 1 species